AAAAAAACCCACCAAUGACUAUUAACAUUUUUCCUUAAACAUUUCCCGGGAAACCUAGAUUCAAUACUGAAGAUGUAUCAUGUAUGUCUUACUUUGCACCACUUGCUGGAGAAAAGACUCCAAUCCAAUCAGUAUUUGAUGCAUUUGGAGAGCUAAAUUUUACAGUCACCCAUUCACUAGUUUCAC